CCUCCCAGGUUCAAGCGAUUCUCCUGCCUCAGCCUCCCAAGUAGCUGGAACUACAGAUAACUGAUACCGUGCUUCCAGAAGAUUUUUCUAACAGUGUUUGCAAGCUAUAAAAUAGUGCUUUCACUUAGAAAAGGCUAGACGUGGUGGUUCAUGCCUGUAAUCCCAGCACUUUGAGAGGCCGAGGCACCAUGCUGGGAGAUAAGGAUCCAACAUAAGACAAACAGUGCUGAUGCUUUUGGAAAGCUCAUAUUCAAGCUGGGGAGACAAACAACAUACAAGAGGGCUCUGAGAGAUUUCAUUUCUGUCCUGCUGAUGAAGUCUACGUUCAUUCAGGGCCUGCUGUGGAAGACCAGCCCCAAAGUUGCUGAACAGAAGACUUUUGAGAGUCAGCAGAAAUCUUCCACUUUGCAUGGUUCUCUUGAUGUGAAAUCAUCUAUAUAGCCCCAGAAUUGGAAAAGAAAAAAAAUAAAAAAAUGGAAGGAAACUGGA
rnacentral:lncRNA from 10 species